GACGAACGCUGGCGGCGUGCUUAACACAUGCAAGUCGAACGGAAAGGCCCUGCUUUUGUGGGGUGCUCGAGUGGCGAACGGGUGAGUAACACGUGAGUAACCUGCCCUUGACUUUGGGAUAACUUCAGGAAACUGGGGCUAAUACCGGAUAGGAGCUCCUGCUGCAUGGUGGGGGUUGGAAAGUUUCGGCGGUUGGGGAUGGACUCGCGGUUUAUCAGCUUGUUGGUGGGGUAGUGGCUUACCAAGGCUUUGACGGGUAGCCGGCCUGAGAGGGUGACCGGCCACAUUGGGACUGAGAUACGGCCCAGACGCCUACGGGAGGCAGCAGUGGGGAAUAUUGCACAAUGGGCGGAAGCCUGAUGCAGCAACGCCGCGUGCGGGAUGACGGCCUUCGGGUUGUAAACCGCUUUCGCCUGUGACGAAGCGUGAGUGACGGUAAUGGGUAAAGAAGCACCGGCUAACUACGU
rnacentral:rRNA from 1 species